GACGAACGCUGGCGGCGUGCUUAACACAUGCAAGUCGAACGGAAAGGCCCUGCUUUUGUGGGGUGCUCGAGUGGCGAACGGGUGAGUAACACGUGAGUAACCUGCCCUUGACUUUGGGAUAACUUCAGGAAACUGGGGCUAAUACCGGAUAGGAGCUCCUGCUGCAUGGUGGGGGUUGGAAAGUUUCGGCGGUUGGGGAUGGACUCGCGGCUUAUCAGCUUGUUGGUGGGGUAGUGGCUUACCAAGGCUUUGACGGGUAGCCGGCCUGAGAGGGUGACCGGCCACAUUGGGACUGAGAUACUGCCCAGACUCCUACGGGAGGCAGCAGUGGGGAAUAUUGCACAAUGGGCGGAAGCAUGAUGCAGCAACGCCGCGUGCGGGAUGACGGCCUUCGGGUUGUAAACCGCUUUCGCCUGUGACGAAGCGUGAGUGACGGUAAUGGGUAAAGAAGCACCGGCUAACUACGUG
rnacentral:rRNA from 1 species